UGGAGAUGAAUGUGAACAAAUACCCAUACCACAGGUGGGAAAAUGUCUGACAACAAACAACGUAUAUUUCAAAUAACCUUCGGAAGCAACCAGACUCAUGCUAGUGUUACCACUACUUCUAUCAUAUCUUUGGAUCUUUGAUAGGUGUGCUGUUUGACUAUUCAGUAACUUCUGAGUCUCUUCUAGGUGGGCUACCCAAAUGUUGGUAAGAGUUCAACAAUCAACACUAUCAUGGGCAACAAGAAAGUAUCUGUGUCUGCCACACCUGGUCACACCAAGCAUUUUCAGACUCUCUUCGUGGAACCUGGCCUCUGCUUAUGUGACUGCCCAGGCCUGGUGAUGCCAUCCUUUGUCUCUA